rnacentral:rRNA from 1 species
GACGAACCGAGCGAACGUUGUUCGGAAUCACUGGGCUUAAAGGGCGCGUAGGCGGGUUCGCAAGUCUGUGGUGAAAUCCUCCGGCUCAACCGGAGAACUGCCUCGGAUACUGCGGGUCUCGAGGGUGAUAGGGGUAUGCGGAACUAUCGGUGGAGCGGUGAAAUGCGUUGAUAUCGAUAGGAACUCCGGUGGCGAAGGCGGCAUACUGGAUCACUUCUGACGCUGAGGCGCGAAAGCCAGGGGAGCAAAC